AGCCAAUGUAGCUCAGCCGGUAGAGCAGCUGAUUCGUAAUCAGCAGGUCGGGGGUUCGAUUCCCCCCAUUGGCUU
rnacentral:tRNA from 1 species